UCUCCUCCCCCGCGUUUUCUCUCUCUCUUCUCCCUCUCUCUCCCCGCGUCGGCCUUCUUCCUUAUUUUCUUGAUUUCUUCUCUGUCCGGCGGCGGAUUUGAGUGAAAUCGGUGGCUAUGGACUCGUCUCGACCUCCUCUUGGUGCCUGCGGUGGUGGCUCAUGGCGGCUUGGCCGGAAAAUGACGCAUCGAGCUGUGGAAGUUUCACUGUAGCAGAAGUGGUCAACGCCGAUUUCUUCUGAUUCCGGCUACCCCAGACGGCAAAGUUGGGUCCUUUGGAAGCGCCUUACGACGUAGAUGAUGCUCCCCAAACCUCUUGAAGCGAUUUGCAGCGUGGAAGAAGAAAGCAUAAUUGGAAGAUUUUACUGUUCAUUCGGGUUCAAUCUUCCCCUUAAUUGUUGAGGGCAAUGUUGCGAGCUACGGCUAGACGAAGAAACUCGUACGCUUGAUCGCCUAAAUAGUACUUUUGCAGGCGAAAUUAGUUGAGGUCGGGCGUACAUUGGAGUUGAGGCAUAGUCAACAGCCUAGCUUCCGCGGUUGCCUUUGAGUUAGGUUGUCCUUAUUUUCCUUUCUAUUAGAAUUGCUCUGAUUACCUAUGGGAUUUAUGUUUUUCAAGUUGAGGCUUUGUGUUUUGUGAAUUGGAGAUUGGUGUUGAGUUGGGGAGCAGGGUGGCUCCAGAAGUAUAAGGAUGAUUUGAUUUAGAAGUGUAAAUGCUUUCUACAGGUUUUGGGUAGCCCAUUUUAGGGGAAGUUCCGCCAAAUUUUUGGUCGAAUUUCUUCUAAGGUGGGCCCCGCAGGGCCACUUCGGAUUUCAGGGUGAAAUUCGGGGUGGGUCCUGUCAACAAGGAAGAUUGUUGUAUCUGCAUCGGAAUUGAUAAGAUAGGGUGCACUAGUUUGCUGUUGCUGUUCGUAGUUGUAAGCAUUUUUGUUAGUUCUAAUUUUGGAAAUCUUGCACUUUUUCAAUAGUUCUGAUCCAAGAAACAGAA